GAUGAACGCUGGCGGCAUGCCUAAGACAUGCAAGUCGAACGAGACGGCCCAAUGAAGAUAGAGUGCUUGCACAAAGUUGGAUUUGGAUUCCCGUCUAGUGGCGCAAGGGUGAAUAACACGUGGGUAAUCUACCUUCGAGUCUGGAAUAACAGUUAGAAAUGAUUGCUAAUGCCGGAUGGUAUAUAGGAAGACAUACUACUUAUAUUAAAAGGGGCCUCAAAGCCUCGCUUGAAGAUGAGCCUGCGCCGUAUUAGUUAGUUGGUGGGGUAACGGCCUACCAAGACGACGAUGCGUAGCCGACCUGAGAGGGUGAUCGGCCACACUGGGACUGAGACACGGCCCAGACUCCUACGGGAGACAGCAGUUAGGAAUAUUCGUCAAUGGGGGAAACCCUGAACGAGCAAUGCCGCGUGAAGGAAGAAGGUACUUCGGGGUCGUAAACUUCUAUCCUUGGUGAAGGAUAAUGACGGUAGCCAAGAAGGAAGCCCCGGCU
rnacentral:rRNA from 1 species